rnacentral:rRNA from 1 species
AUUGAACGCUGGCGGCAGGCCUAACACAUGCAAGUCGAGCGGAGCGGCGGAAGGGUGAGUAAUGCCUAGGAAUCUGCCUGGUAGUGGGGGAUAACGUCCGGAAACGGGCGCUAAUACCGCAUCCUAUCAGAUGAGACUAGGUCGGAUUAGCUAGUUGGUGGGGUAAAGGCCUACAAAGGCGACGAUCCGUAAAUGGUCUGAUAGGAUGAUCAGUCACACUGGAACUGAGACACGGUCCAGAUUUCUACGGGAGGCAGAAGUGGGGAAUAUUGGACAAUGGGCGGAAGCCUGAUCCAGCCAUGCCGAGUGUGUUAAGAAGGUCUUCGGAUUGUAAAGUACUUUAAGUUGGGAGGCGUUACCAACAGAAUAAGCACCGGCUAACUUCGGGCCAGCAGCCGCGGUAAGUC